AUUGAACGCUGGCGGCAGGCUUAACACAUGCAAGUCGAACGAGUGGCGGACGGGUGAGUAAUGUCUGGGAAACUGCCCGGUGGAGGGGGAUAACUACUGGAAACGGUAGCUAAUACCGCAUACCAUCAGAUGUGCCCAUAUGGGAUUAGCUAGUUGGUGGGGUAAAGGCUCACCAAGGCGACGAUCCCUAGCUGGUCUGAGAGGAGGACCAGCCACACUGGAACUGAGACACGGCCCAGACUCCUACGGGAGGCAGCAGUGGGGAAUAUUGGACAAUGGGCGCAAGCCUGAUACAGCCAUGCCGCGUGUAUGAAGAAGGCCUUCGGGUUGUAAAGUACUUUUAGCGGGGAGGCGGUACCCGCAGAAGAAGCACCGGCUAACUCCGUGCCAGCAGCCGCGGUAAUUC
rnacentral:rRNA from 1 species